UACGUAGGGUGCAAGCGUUAAUCGGAAUUAUUGGGCGUAAAGAGCUCGUAGGUGGUUCGAUACGUCGGAUGUGAAAAUCAGGGGCCCAACCCCUGACCUGCAUUCGAUACGGUCGAGCUAGAGUGUGGUAGGGGAGACUGGAAUUCCUGGUGUAGCGGUGGAAUGCGCAGAUAUCAGGAGGAACACCGAUGGCGAAGGCAGGUCUCUGGGCCAUUACUGACACUGAGGAGCGAAAGCGUGGGGAGCGAACAGGAUUAGAUACCCUGGUAGUCCACGCCGUAAACGGUGGGCGCUAGUUGUGCGAACCUUCCACGGUUUGUGCGACGCAGCUAACGCAUUAAGCGCCCCGCCUGGGGAGUACGAUCGCAAGAUUAAAACUCAAAGGAAUUGACGGGGCCCCGCACAAGCAGCGGAGCAUGCGGCUUAAUUCGACGCAACGCGAAGAACCUUACCAAGGCUUGACAUAUACAGGAAUACGGCAGAGAUGUCGUAGCCGCAAGGUCUGUAUACAGGUGGUGCAUGGUUGUCGUCAGCUCGUGUCGUGAGAUGUUGGGUUAAGUCCCGCAACGAGCGCAACCCUCGUUCUGUGUUGCCAGCAUUUAGUUGGGGACUCACAGGAGACUGCCGGGGUUAACUCGGAGGAAGGUGGGGAUGACGUCAAAUCAUCAUGCCCCUUAUGUCUUGGGCUGCACGCAUGCUACAAUGGCUGGUACAAACGGCUGCAAUACCGCAAGGUGGAGCGAAUCCGAGAAAGCCAGUCUCAGUUCGGAUUGGGGUCUGCAACUCGACCCCAUGAAGUCGGAGUUGCUAGUAAUCGUAGAUCAGCAACGCUACGGUGAAUACGUUCCCGGGGCU
rnacentral:rRNA from 1 species